rnacentral:lncRNA from 1 species
GACUGACACAUACCUUUCUCUAGGGCAUGUUUUGUACUUGAUGGGUGGUCUUUAUAACCAAUCAUAUCUUAUGUGUCCAUGAUUUAUCUUAAAAAUUAAUAAAGAUGAUUUUGUAUAUUCUCAAGAUGUUGAGUAUUUGAGAUAUACAUCAUUAGUGGUUAAUUUCUAAAUUCUCCCAAUCCAAAGAUCAUCACGGAGGACAGUGAUCAAUCUAUUCAAGAUCAGUUCAUAGAUC